CCCUGACAAAUCAAUACACCAGUUGGACCUAAAAUCCAUAAAAGACAUGUACUUGACAUGCAGGAACUUUGGAGACGCUACAAGGCAGCAACAACACUACCAGUCCACAACACUUACUUUUCAAAAAACUGUUUAGCCUCAUUCUCGUGGUUGUUGUAGACCAGCUCCAGGUACAUGUGGACAAACAGUGGGUAGAAGACCUGGGAGAGUUCAGCUCUGUGGCAGUCCAGGACAGACUCUAUAAACUUCUUCAGGCCGUUAUAGUAGAGUGGGUAGAGGACAGGGUCCCCCUGCUGGCUAUAGGCCGACAAGACAACGUUGACGUCUGGUUGGUCUUCCCCACCUGAUGCUGCCACCACUGUACAAGCACAGUAGUAGUUGUUAGAAGAAUGAAUAUAUUAGAGUAGCUAACUAAGAGUAAUAUAACUAUUGGUCUUAUCCAUAGUAGUUUUGGGGUUCUGCGACUAGUAAAGGCCCAGUGCACUACUUUUGUGAAAACAGAAGCUAAAUCUAUUUUGAGUGUUUACCUGCGUUUGUAACCCGAGUCUGAUAAUUAUCUGUACAAAACUGUUAACUUGUUGAACAUAAAAACAUUCAUUUUCAUACUGGCCCCCUGUGGGAAUCCAACCCACAAUCCUAGCACUGCAAGCGACAUGCUCUACCACCUGAGCCACAUCAGAAACCACUUGAUGUCUCAAUGCUCUCAAUUACUGUAUUUUACAUUGUUGUUCUACAUGGUGAUGGAAAGUCUACAGGUACAAACCUAGAUGACCAGCCUAUGUACAAUACAGUAAUGUACAUUAAGUGGUUUGUAAGGAUGGUCAAUUGUGGUUUUUCAAUUUUAUAUAAUGUCAAUAAAAAUAUUUAAUUUGAACUGGAUGUUUUGUGUCUUUGCCCAUAACUUUCUACCUUUUGAUGUAAAUGAUUGAGGACAGGGUUUUGUCCUUUCUGGAUUCCAUUAGAAUGACAAUCUCAGAGAAAGGGACAGGGCAGCAACUCUUACAAUUCCAACUAUUGAAUCCUGCAAUGAUACAACUACCUUUUUUUGCCAAAGCAGAGAAGCUGGAGGGAAAAAAGUGCUUCGCGGUAACAUACCUCUAUAUCAGUCCGCUUAUACUAAUAAAGGCCGAGCGCACUACUUUUGUGAAAAUAUUUAUUCAAAAAAUAUUACUAUUUUUUAAAUGUUUUAUUAGGGUUUUUUUUUCAGGGGGUGCUGCACAAACUCAGCACCCAUACUUCCCGCGGCUAUGGUCUUAUCGCAAGAACUGUUUUCAUACAUCUACCAGCAACAGUAUGAGGAACAAAAACAGCAGUUUCAGGACUGGCUUGUCAAGCUCCCUCGUGUCUCAUUCAUUCAACAUGUGCCAUCCUCUGCCGCAGUCAGAACGGCAGUGGCGUGACGUGGCGUUGGGCUCCCCAGGGACAGGAG
rnacentral:lncRNA from 1 species